rnacentral:rRNA from 1 species
UCAGAUGCGAAAGCGUGGGUAGCAAACAGGAUUAGAUACCCUGGUAGUCCACGCCGUAAACGCUGUCUACUUGGAGGUUGAGGUUUUAGACUUUGGCUUUCGGCGCUAAUGCAUUAAGUAGACCGCCUGGGGAGUACGGCCGCAAGGUUAAAACUCAAAUGAAUUGACGGGGGCCCGCACAAGCGGUGGAGCAUGUGGUUUAAUUCGAUGCAACGCGAAGAACCUUACCUACUCUUGACAUCCAGCGAAGCCUUUAGAGAUAGAGGCGUGCCUUCGGGAGCGCUGAGACAGGUGCUGCGUGGCUGUCGUCAGCUCGUGUUGUGAAAUGUUGGGUUAAGUCCCGCAACGAGCGCAACCCUUAUCCUUGUUUGCCAGCACAUAAUGGUGGGAACUCCAGGGAGACUGCCGGUGAUAAACCGGAGGAAGGUGGGGACGACGUCAAGUCAUCAUGGCCCUUACGAGUAGGGCUACACACGUGCUACAAUGGCAGAUACAGAGGGCAGCGAGACAGCGAUGUUUAGCGAAUCCCUUAAAGUUUGUCGUAGUCCGGAUUGGAGUCUGCAACUCGACUCCAUGAAGUCGGAAUCGCUAGUAAUCGUGGAUCAGAAUGCCACGGUGAAUACGUUCCCGGGCCUUGUACACUCCGCCC